ACAAACACGGAGAAGUAUUUGACCCACUAUACAAAUAUCAUCUCUCGGGUGGCCGAGCGAAAAGAAACGUGAGCGCAUAGUCUCUUCCUGUGGCCGUGUGCCUUCCACCCAACCCACACUCCUUUGUUUUUCGUGUCUCCUCACACGGUGCCUGUCGCCCUGUUCUCUCCCCAGCUCGACAUCAUGUUCGGCAGAGGGACAUUUUCCCGAAAAGUCCUCGUCGGCACGACGGUGGCGGGUUUUGUGGGGGUCGGUGGUGGGUACGCAAUGUACCAGCGGCGCAUGCGCGACAACCGCAGCGUGACCGCCGAAGCCUUCAAUGCAAUGCAGGACGCCACCAAGCUAGACGAAGCCUUCAAGAAGCUCUGCGACCACAAAGAGCACCCCCUCAUUCAGUUUUACCGGUACACCACCUGUCCGUGGUGUGGCACCGUCAAGGCAUUUCUGGACUACAACAAGAUCCCGCACGAGUGCGUAGAGGUGGAGCCAAUGUUUAAGACGGAGUUGGCGGAGAGCCUGUACAAGAAGGUGCCGCAGCUGCGGUUCGAGUCGAAGGCAGGCGACAGGUCGUACCUGGUCGACUCGCGAAUCAUUGUGGACACGCUUAGCGAGAAGAUGGGUCUUGGUGGCCAGCUAAAGGAUGAGGAUGUGGACAAGUGGCGCACGUGGGCCCGCAGUUCUCUCGUCCGCUUUGUCACUCUCGAGUUCAACCGCUCCCUCCCCGCGGCGUGGGCCGGCUAUUCCUACAUCGACAGCUGCGACACAAUCCCCUACGCCAACAAGCUCUUUCUCAAGGUGAUUGGAGCGCCUGUAAUGUACCUGGUUGCCAUGAUGGUCACCAAGCCGCGCCUUGUGAAGGCCGGCCUCAUGAAACCCGACGACGACCCGAAGCAGCGCCUACACGACGAGGUCAACCGGUUCACCGCUGAGGCACUCGUCGACCCCAAGUCCAAGAAGCCGCGAACCUUCCACGGCGGCAGAAAGCCGGACCUGGUCGACCUCGACACAUAUGGCGUUCUUCAGUCGGUUCGUAACCACCGCAUUUACAACGAGAUGGUCACUGAGACACAGAUCGGCCCAUGGCUGGAGGCAAUGGACAGACUCAUGGGAAAGGCCUAGCGCGCUUGGUGGCGACAGCAUUUCCCGUAGUCGCUCAGCUGCGUACCCAUCAAGUGUGUGCUGACUCGGCUCCGACGCCACACACCGGCUCAGCGACACACCGAAACUGUUUCACGCUAGGCUGCUCAUUUUUGUUUUCGAUGUUCUUGCUGAGUAUUGGCAGUGUAGUGGUGUGAGACGGCUUCCGCCUCUGCAUGUCGCCUUCUUUCCCCCACGACGCACCACGGAUGAUACAACACAGCUGUCAUCCAGCAGCCGCGCCCCUCCUGCCGCCCUCCGCAAUGCGGGACUUCUCCCGUUGUUUGUUUAGCACGAUGUGGUGUGCCAUCAGGAGAAGCGCCUCCUCUCGUCUUGUCCGUCAACACGAGAAAGGGUGAAGAGACGGGGUGGCAGGGGUCUUUUUUGGCGACGGCCAUAAGUAGGCACACAGUUGCCCGUGCAUGUCUUCGAGUUCUCUUUGUUCAUUUCUAACACGUGCUCACAUGAUAAUGAAACGAAGGGCCGACCAGGGACGUUUGACCAUGUCUGCACGCGUGUGCCUCUGGGCCAGACGAACUUGUGUCUUGUCGUUUCUCUGUCUUUCUACUCACAGGCGGUCAGCAUUAAUGUCCAGCAUCAUCGGAACAACAAGGCCUUGUGCAAGACAGCGCACAGCAGCCGUGGGAAGCGCUCUUCUCUGCUUCCAACCAAAAAAAGUGAACGGCUGCCUGAUGAAAAGGGUGCUUGUGCGGACCCGGUAUGGACGUAUGACCAUGGCCCCACCUUGAAGGCCAUGAUAAUCCGCGUCACUGCGUGUCAGGCAAUCUCUUCCGCGCUGCGAGGGCACACCCGUGUUUCCACGAUGCUGCCGCGACGACUUCACCACACUUCCGUACAUGCCCUCCUGCCACCCCCUUCUCGACUGCCGCCUGGCCCUUUCGUUGUCUCUUGGCUGCCUGCCUCGCCGCAAUUCUCGCCCUUCCGUCACGGCCACCGUUG
rnacentral:misc_RNA from 1 species